GGUCACUCAUCCCCUAUGAGGAGCAAACCCUGGAACUCCCAGGAGGCUGCAGCAACCACAAAAUCGAGAACACCUGAAGAGACUGCUCCCCACCUUCCCACCCCGCCAGGUCUCUAACUCUUACUUGGUCCUGCUUUGGGAUCUGAGGGACUGCAGUGAAGUGAACUUUCCCAAAAAUGGUAGGAAGAGGACAAUCUCUCCAACCAAGCAGAUGUGGAUGGAAGUGGCUGAGGAAAUCAGCAGCAGGAGUAUGGUCCCUCCAACCUUGGGACAGUGCACCAAGAGGAUCCAGGACCUCAGGAGGGUGUGAUAGGGUACUGGAAACGUGGAAUUCUCUUCUGAGAAGGCUGUGGAUGUGGUCAAUUGAAAUUUUCAAGACUGCCAUUGACGGAAAUCAUUAGGUAAGGGAUAUCCAUCAAAGACAGG